rnacentral:rRNA from 1 species
UGCAGUCGAGGGGUAUGUAGCAAUACUAGAGACCGGCGCACGGGUGCGUAACGCGUAUGCAAUCUACCUUUCACAGAGGGAUAGCCCAGAGAAAUUUGGAUUAAUACCUCAUAGUAUAUAUGAAUGGCAUCAUUUAUAUAUUAAAGUCACAACGGUGAAAGAUGAGCAUGCGUCCCAUUAGCUAGUUGGUAUGGUAACGGCAUACCAAGGCGACGAUGGGUAGGGGUCCUGAGAGGGAGAUCCCCCACACUGGUACUGAGACACGGACCAGACUCCUACGGGAGGCAGCAGUGAGGAAUAUUGGACAAUGGGCGCAAGCCUGAUCCAGCCAUGCCGCGUGCAGGAUGACGGUCCUAUGGAUUGUAAACUGCUUUUAUACAGGAAGAAACACCUCUACGUGUAGAGACUUGACGGUACUGUAAGAAUAAGGACCGGCUAACUCCGUGCCAGCAGCCGCGGUAAUACGGAGGAUCCAAGCGUUAUCCGGAAUCAUUGGGUUUAAAGGGUCCGUAGGCGGAUUUGUAAGUCAGUGGUGAAAUCUCCCCGCUCAACGGGGAAACGGCCAUUGAUACUGCAAGUCUUGAAUUAUUAGGAAGUAACUAGAAUAUGUAGUGUAGCGGUGAAAUGCUUAGAGAUUACAUGGAAUACCAAUUGCGAAGGCAGGUUACUACUAAUGGAUUGACGCUGAUGGACGAAAGCGUGGGUAGCGAACAGGAUUAGAUACCCUGGUA